rnacentral:rRNA from 1 species
GUGCCAGCAGCCGCGGUAAUACGAAGGUGGCUAGCGUGUUUCGGAAUCACUGGGCUUAAAGAGCACGUAGGCGGAUGAUCAAGCGUCUUGUGAAAGCCCUCGGCUCAACCGGGGAAUUGCUUGGCGAACCGAUCAUCUUGAGGCAGGUAGGGGCGAGUGAAACUCUUGGUGGAGCGGUGGAAUGCUUAGAUAUCAAGAGGAACGCCAGAGGCGAAGGCGACUCGCUGGGCCUGACCUGACGCUGAGGUGCGAAAGCCAGGGGAGCGAACGGGAUUAGAUACCCCGGUAGUCCUGGCCCUAAACGAUGUCCACUAGGUCGGUGAGGUUCUAAUGCUUUGCUGGCCGAAACAAAAGCGUUAAGUGGACCGCCUGGGGAGUACGGUCGCAAGGCUAAAACUCAAAGGAAUUGACGGGGGCUCACACAAGCGGUGGAGCAUGUUGCUUAAUUCGAUGCAACGCGAAGAACCUUAUCCUGGGCUUGACAUACACGGAUGCCCUCCUGGAAACAGGUCGGGUUGCCCUUCGGGGUGAAACGUACACAGGUGCUGCAUGGCUGUCGUCAGCUCGUGUCGUGAGAUGUUGGGUUAAGUCCCGUAACGAGCGAAACCCUUGUCGCUAGUUGCCAGCGCGUAAUGGCGGGGACUCUAGCGAGACUGCCGGUGUUAAACCGGAGGAAGGUGGGGAUGACGUCAAGUCCUCAUGGCCUUUAUGCCCAGGGCUGCAAACGUGCUACAAUGGUAGGGACAGAGCGACGCAAGACCGUGAGGUGGAGCAAAUCGCAAAAACCCUGCCCCAGUUCGGAUCGGAGUCUGCAACUCGACUCCGGAAGUCGGAAUCGCU